rnacentral:rRNA from 1 species
GAAGCUGGAAUUGCUAGUAAUGGCAGGUCAGCAUACUGCCGUGAAUACGUUCCCGGGCCUUGUACACACCGCCCGUCACACCAUGAGAGUUGGGAAUACCCGAAGCCUGUGAGCUAACUUAUAGAGGCAGCAGUCGAAGGUAGAAUCAAUGAUUGGGGUGAAGUCGUAACAAGGUAUC